rnacentral:rRNA from 1 species
CUGCGUCGGCGUCGUCCGGUGCGAUUCACCCUUUUACCCUUGCCUAUGAGUACCUCUUUGUUGUUUCCUCGGCGGGCUCGCCUGCCGGUAGGAACCCAUCAAAACCAUUUUGCAUUAGCAUCAAUACCUCUGAUCUAAACAAAUAAUCACAACUUUCAACAAUGGAUCUCUUGGUUCUGGCAUCGAUGAAGAACGCAGCGAAAUGCGAUAAGUAGUGUGAAUUGCAGAAUUCAGUGAAUCAUCGAAUCUUUGAACGCACAUUGCGCCCCUUGGUAUUCCAUGGGGCAUGCCUGUUCGAGCGUCAUUUACACCCUCAAGCUCUGCUUGGUGUUGGGCGUCUGUCCCGCUGCUAUGCGUGGACUCGCCUUAAAGGUAUCGGCGGCGGCCUUUGCCAGCUUCUCGCGCAGCGAAAUGCGCUUCUCGAGGCGAAGCAGUAGGCACGCGUCCGCGAAGUUCACCUUCAUGACUUGACCUCGGAUCAGGUAGGGAUACCCGCUGAACUUAAGCAUAUCAAUAAGCGGAGGAAAAGAAACCAACAGGGAUUGCCCUAGUAACGGCGAGUGAAGCGGCAACAGCUCAAAUUUGAAAUCUGGCCCUCUUUGGGGGUCCGAGUUGUAAUUUGCAGAGGGUGCUUUGGCGUUGUCGGCGGUCUAAGUUCCUUGGAACAGGACAUCACAGAGGGUGAGAAUCCCGUUUGUGGUCGCCAGCCUUCGCCGUGUAAAGCCCCUUCGACGAGUCGAGUUGUUUGGGAAUGCAGCUCUAAAUGGGAGGUAAAUUUCUUCUAAAGCUAAAUACCGGCCAGAGACCGAUAGCGCACAAGUAGAGUGAUC